rnacentral:lncRNA from 1 species
AUAGGAACGACUAAUCUGACCUUCACAUUCUCAGGGUACUGCAGGACAUCAAACAUCUUCUCCAUCUCUCGAAUCCAUAUCUCUGCAGCCAUAGGAUCAGAUCCACCCUCAAAUAGAGGUGGGUUGAGUCUUCUGAAUCUCUCAUAGUAUGACUUCAUAGAUAAUGUAGAUCGAGGAGCAGCUUGUGCCUGCUGCUGGAUAAGCUGAGCCACCACU